CGGGGUGAGUAAUGUCUGGGAAACUGCCUGAUGAGGGGGAGUAACUACUGGAAACGGUAGCUAAUACCGCAUAACGUCGCAAGACCAAAGUGGGGGACCUUCGGGCCUCAUGCCAUCAGAUGUGCCCAGAUGGGGUUAGCUAGUAGGUGGGGUAACGGCUCACCUAGGCGACGAUCCCUAGCUGGUCUGAGAGGAUGACCAGCCACACUGGAACUGAGACACGGUCCAG
rnacentral:rRNA from 1 species